CAAGUCGAGCGAUGAGAUCACUUCGGUGAAGGAUUAGCGGCGAACGGGUGAGGAACACGUGAAGAAUCUGCCUUCAACUCUGGGAUAACUCCGGGAAACCGGGGCUAAUACCGGAUAUGAGCCUUGAUCGCAUGAUCGGGGCUGGAAAGUUUUUCGGUUGAAGAUGACUUCGCGGCCUAUCAGCUUGUUGGUGAGGUAAUGGCUCACCAAGGCGACGACGGGUAGCCGGCCUGAGAGGGCGACCGGCCACACUGGGACUGAGACACGGCCCAGACUCCUACGGGAGGCAGCAGUGGGGAAUAUUGGGCAAUGGACGAAAGUCUGACCCAGCGACGCCGCGUGCGGGAUGAAGGCCUUCGGGUUGUAAACCGCUUUCAGCAGGGAAUAAGCGCAAGUGAAGGUACCUGCAGAAGAAGCACCGGCUAACUAUGUGCCAGCAGCCGCGGUAAUACAUAGGGUGCAAGCGUUGUCCGGAAUUAUUGGGCGUAAAGAGCUCGUAGGUGGUUUGUUACGUCGGUUGUGAAAUUCAGGGGCUCAACCCCUGACUUGCAGCCGAUACGGGCAAGCUAGAGUUUGGUAGGGGAGACUGGAAUUCCUGGUGUAGCGGUGGAAUGCGCAGAUAUCAGGAGGAACACCGAUGGCGAAGGCAGGUCUCUGGGCCAAUACUGACACUGAGGAGCGAAAGCGUGGGGAGCGAACAGGAUUAGAUACCCUGGUAGUCCACGCCGUAAACGGUGGGCGCUAGUUGUGCGAACCUUCCACGGUUUGUGCGACGCAGCUAACGCAUUAAGCGCCCCGCCUGGGGAGUACGAUCGCAAGAUUAAAACUCAAAGGAAUUGACGG
rnacentral:rRNA from 1 species